GCGGCGGCGGCGGCGGCACCUCAGAGCAGGGCGGCGCGCCUCAGCCUCCCCUCGCUCCCUCCUCUCUCAGGAUGGAGGCUCCGGGAAACCCUGAGCAGCCAACAGUUUAAAAGUGAGAUAAAGAAAGGAACAAAGAAAGAAGAGCCACCCCACCAAAAGAUGCUAACUUGCUACUAUGUGCAGAACUAACAAUUAAAAUAAUAAUAAUAAAAGGAUGAUUUUUAACCAUUAAUUCAGAGGAACAACUCCAUCCAGCAGAGGGAGACAAGCGCAUGAUGCUUCUCGGACUCCUCAAGCCAGAGGAGGCAGCUGACACAGGCUGACCCUCUCAGGAUGGAAGAAGAUAAAAUGCAAUCCAAAUCAGAGGAGCCAACACUCCCCUGCCUAGCUCCUGAGAAGGGAAAACCAACCAGAUUUCGGUGCCAGGAUCCCUCCCACCGUCAGUCAGUCCUCGGGCCAGCUUCCUGCUUGGAGAGUGUUCUC